rnacentral:rRNA from 1 species
GAGCACGUAGGUGGGUUUGUAAGUCAGAUGUGAAAGCCUUCUGUUCAACGGAAGAAUUGCAUCUGAAACUGCGAGUCUUGAGUGUAGGAGGGGAGAAUGGAACUUCUGGUGGAGCGGUGAAAUGCGUAGAUAUCAGAAGGAACGCCGGCGGCGAAAGCGAUUCUCUGGCCUAUUACUGACACUCAGUGUGCGAAAGCUAGGGGAGCAAACGGGAUUAGAUACCCCGGUAGUCCUAGCCGUAAACGAUGGGCACUAAGUAGAGGGAAUUACCGAUGUUCUCUCUGCCGUAGCUAACGCAUUAAGUGCCCCGCCUGGGGAGUACGGCCGCAAGGCUAAAACUCAAAAGAAUUGACGGGGGCUCGCACAAGCGGUGGAGCAUGUGGCUUAAUUCGAUGCAACGCGAAAAACCUUACCGGGGCUUGACAUGGUAGAAGUAGGAACCCGAAAGGGUAACGAACGGUAUCCAGUCCGUAGCUAUCACAGGUGUUGCAUGGCUGUCGUCAGCUCGUGUCGUGAGACGUUGGGUUAAGUCCCCUAACGAGCGAAACCCUUGUUUUUAGUUACCAGCGGGUUAUGCCGGGUACUCUAGAAAGACUGCCGUCGUCAAGACGGAGGAAGGUGGGGAUGACGUCAAGUCAUCAUGGCCCUUAUGCCCCGGGCUGCACACGUGCUACAAUGGUCGGUACAAACGGAUGCGAAUCCGAGAGGUGAAGCGAAUCC